AGCAGCCGCGGUAAUUCCAGCUCCAAUAGCGUAUAUUAAAGUUGUUGCAGUUAAAAAGCUCGUAGUUGAAUUCCGGGGUUAGUAGGUUGGUCAUGCCUCUGGUAUGUACUGGUCUCACUGAUUCCUCCUUCCUGAUGAGCCGUAAUGCCAUUAAUUUGGUGUUGCGGGGAAUUUGGACUGUUACUUUGAAAAAAUUAGAGUGUUUAAAGCAAGCUAACGCUUGAAUACAUUAGCAUGGAAUAAUGAAAUAGGACGUUCGAUCCUAUUUUGUUGGUUUCUAGGAUUGACGUAAUGAUUAAUAGGGAUAGUUGGGGGCAUUAGUAUUCAAUUGUCAGAGGUGAAAUUCUUGGAUUUAUUGAAGACUAACUACUGCGAAAGCAUUUGCCAAGGAUGUUUUCAUUAAUCAAGAACGAAAGUUAGGGGAUCGAAGACGAUCAGAUACCGUCGUAGUCUUAACCAUAAACUAUGCCGACUAGGGAUCGGAUGAUGUUAAUUUUUUAAUGACUC
rnacentral:rRNA from 1 species